GAAUCUCUGAAGUUUUUUCAUGCAAAUAUCAUUGUUCUAAGUAUUCGGUUAAAUGAUUAAAUGUUUAGACAGUACAGCAAUCGCCUGUAUUUCAUACGCCAACACUAUGGCUAAAGACAUAAUGAAAUAGUACAAAAGUUAAAUGAACACAAGAAAUAAAUUUAAGAUUACUUACCCGAAUUUAUGAUUAUGGUUUGCACGAUCGUAUGAAAAGAAAGCAGCACAGCAUAUUGUCGUUCACGCAUUGAUGAUGGCACGAUACGCACGAGGUUUCUAUGAGAGUUCUUUAUGUGUCAAUCAUACACAGACAUACAUUUCUUGGACUUAAUGACGUGGGGUUAGACAUGCAGUGAUUACCAUUCGCACAUGUAAUUUACUAAUCACAAAAUAGAUUUCAAUUUCAAGCACAGUUUGCAAAACUUAAACUAUGCACAUUCUGGUGUAUAAUUAAAUAAAUUUAUCUUGAAAGAGCAAACGGACGUCUCGGGUUUAGUUAUGAAUAUUUUAUUGAUAGUGUAGGCAUUUGAGGUAUGAAAUAAAUGAUUGCAAAAUAUAGCCAAAAAUAUGUAUGUGACUAAUAGCUCUGUAACACAAAAAAAUGUUUUAAGAAAAGUUUUAGUCAAAAAUGACAAUUGGCAAAA